rnacentral:rRNA from 1 species
CCUGGCGGCGAUAGCGCGGUGGUCCCACCUGACCCCAUGCCGAACUCAGAAGUGAAACGCCGUAGCGCCGAUGGUAGUGUGGGGUCUCCCCAUGUGAGA